rnacentral:rRNA from 1 species
UCAGCCCUAGGGAGGCAGCAGUAGGGAAUUUUCGUCAAUGGGCGCAAGCCUGAACGAGCAAUGCCGCGUGAACGAGGAAGGUCUUCGGAUCGUAAAGUUCUGUUGAAGGGGAAAAAGAGCGGAGAGAGGAAAUGGUCUCCGAUUGAUAUUACCCUUCGAGGAAGUCACGGCUAACUACGUGCCAGCAGCCGCGGUAAUACGUAGGUGGCGAGCGUUAUCCGGAGUGAUUGGGCGUAAAGGGUGCGUAGGCGGCCUGCUAAGUCUGGAGUGAAAGGUACCGGCUCAACCGGUACAGGCCCUGGAAA